UACGGAGGAUGCGAGCGUUAUCCGGAUUUAUUGGGUUUAAAGGGUGCGUAGGCGGACGCUUAAGUCAGCGGUGAAAUUGCGGGGCUCAACCUCGUCGAGCCGUUGAAACUGGGUGUCUUGAGUGGGCGAGAAGUACGCGGAAUGCAUGGUGUAGCGGUGAAAUGCAUAGAUAUCACGCAGAACUCCGAUUGCGAAGGCAGCGUACCGGCGCCCAACUGACGCUGAAGCACGAAGGCGUGGGUAUCGAACAGG
rnacentral:rRNA from 1 species